GAUACAUUGUCAUGCAGUUCUGAUAUGAAAACAGUAAAAAAAAAAAGCUGGGGGGUAGCUGCAAGACCAACUGUAGCUGUUGCUUUAAAGAAAAAUGUGGAGUUCUUUGUCAAAUGCUAUGGAAAAUAAUUUUUCUACAUUUAUCAUAGAUUUAGGGAUAGAAACACAUACAUAAUUUAUGCAUGUAGAGGUCAUGGCCUGGGUCACACCUACCCAUUUAUAUGACAAAUACAUCGUGGACAAAUCAGGAAUUAUAUACCAAUAUCUUAAGAAUUACUUUAACCUCCUUUUCAUUUCUUUUUUUUUCCAGAAUGGAAUCUGACAGGAAAAAAAGCAUCAGAUUUUAUCCAGGGUUGGACGUACUCCUGCUAAGGGAGAUAGUUGCCGACAUUCCCCAAAAUAAAUCAAUGUGGGAGGCCAUAAACAAAAAGUUGAAUGACGUCUUGAAAGAACGAAAUGCCUAUGUCACUUUGAGAGCAUGUAAGGAUCGCCUUUGCCACCUACGAGAGGCACACCGCAGGCAGGAAAUGAAUUCAUUGAGAGCGAGUAUGAUGAAAGGGCACAACUGUUGACCGAACUGGCUGAGUUAGAUGAGGAGCGGAAGAAAGCCAAGGAAACAUCUGGGAAAGACACACAUGCCAAAGAAAUUCAAGGAAAAGAAAUCCGAAUGGCAGCAAUGGAAUCCCUCGCUGGGACCAACAAAGAAGCUACCACCCAACAAAAAAG
rnacentral:lncRNA from 1 species